rnacentral:misc_RNA from 1 species
GCAAACUUGGUCAUUUAGAGGAAGUAAAAGUCGUAACAAGGUAACCGUAGGUGAACCUGCGGUUGGAUCAUUAGAAGAAUAGAAAUUCCGGAUAGGAAUCCAAUAUGGAUUUCCUAAAGGCAACCCUUUCUCCGGUGAACUUUCCAUGCAUGUCUUUUGGCGGCCGAGGCAGACGAUUCGAUUGUCUGCUGGUAAAAGUGUAUACACCUUCGGUGUGUUAUUCAUGGUAUUCGCCACUCAGGAAUGAGUGGGUUGAGAAUCAUGCCGGCCGCCGCGAAAAAAGACAACACACACAGACCCUCCCUCCUUCCUUCCCUUCCCUUUCCCGCAAGGGAGAGGGAGGGAGAGAGAGUGAUAGGGUCUUUUUAUGUGUUUUACCUUUACUUUUUUUACGUCUGAGAUAAUGAGAAGCGACAAGCAAAACAACCAAAAACAACUUUUGACAACGGAUCUCUUGGCUCUCGCAUCGAUGAAGAACGCAGC